AUUGAACGCUGGCGGCAUGCCUUACACAUGCAAGUCGGACGGCAAGGGUAGCAAUACCCCUAGAGUGGCGGACUGGUGAGUAACGCGUGGGUGACCUACCCUUGAGAUGGGGAUAGCCAUUAGAAAUAGUGGAUAAUACCGAAUACGCUCACGACCCUGUGGGGAAGUGAGGAAAUCAGGCUACGGCCUGGCUCGAGGAUGGGCCCGCGUCCCAUUAGCUAGUUGGUGAGGUAAAAGCCCACCAAGGCGACGAUGGGUAUCCGGCCUGAGAGGGUGUACGGACACAUUGGGACUGAGAUACGGCCCAAACUCCUACGGGAGGCAGCAGCUAAGAAUAUUCCGCAAUGGACGAAAGUCUGACGGAGCGACGCCGCGUGGAUGAAGAAGGCCGAAAGGUUGUAAAAUCCUUUUGCUGAUGAAGAAUAAGUGUGGUAGGGAAUGACCGCAUGAUGACAUUAGUCGGUGAAUAAGCCCCGGCUAACUACGUGCCAGCCGCCGCAGUAA
rnacentral:rRNA from 1 species